AGCGGCAGACGGGUGAGUAACGCGUGGGAAUCUACCCAGAUCUACGGAACAACUCAGGGAAACUUGUGCUAAUACCGUAUACGCCCUUAGGGGGAAAGAUUUAUCGGAGAAAGAUCGGUCCGCGUUAGAUUAGUUUGUUGGUGGGGUAAUGGCCUACCAAGACUACGAUCUAUAGCUGAUUUGAGAGGAUGAUCAGCCACACUGGAACUGAGACACGGUCCAGACUCCUACGGGAGGCAGCAGUGGGGAAUAUUGGACAAUGGGGGAAACCCUGAUCCAGCCAUGCCGCGUGAAUGAUGAAGGCCUUAGGGUUGUAAAAUUCUUUCACCGGGGAAGAUAAUGACGUUACUCGCAGAAGAAGCCCCGGCUAACUUCGUGCCAGCAGCCGCGGUAAUACGAAGGGAGCUAGCGUUGUUCGGAAUCACUGGGCGUAAAGCGCACGUAGGCGGAUUGAUAAGUAAGGGGUGAAAUCCCAGGGCUCAACCCUGGAACUGCCUUUGAUACUGUCAAUCUAGAGACCGGGAGAGGUGAGUGGAACUCCGAGUGUAGAGGUGAAAUUCGUAGAUAUUCGGAAGAACACCAGUGGCGAAG
rnacentral:rRNA from 1 species